GGCAGCAGUGGGGAAUUUUGGACAAUGGGGGCAAGCCUGAUCCAGCCAUGCCGCGUGCGGGAAGAAGGCCUUCGGGUUGUAAAGCUCUUUUGUCGGGGAAGAAAUUUUAUGGGCUAAUAUCCCGGGAGGAUGACGGUACCCGAAGAAUAAGCACCGGCUAACUACGUGCCAGCAGCCGCGGUAAUACGUAGGGUGCGAGCGUUUAUCGGAAUUACUGGGCGUAAAGCGUGCGCAGGCGGUUAUGUAAGACAGAUGUGAAAUCCCCGGGCUCAACCUGGGAACUGCAUUUGUGACUGCAUGACUGGAGUGCGGCAGAGGGGGAUGGAAUUCCGCGUGUAGCAGUGAAAUGCGUAGAUAUGCGGAGGAACACCGAUGGCGAAGGCAAUCCCCUGGGCCUGCACUGACGCUCAUGCACGAAAGCGUGGGGAGCAAACAGGAUUAGAUACCCUGGUAGUCCACGCCCUAAACGAUGUCAACUGGUUGUUGGACGGCUUGCUGUUCAGUAACGAAGCUAACGC
rnacentral:rRNA from 1 species